AAUCAUUUUUUAAAUCGCUGAUCAAGGUACAUAAAUAAUUCAGUUUCUUAAUUUUGUUGGAUUCAAACCGUCAUUUUCCCGAAAAGCCCUUUGACCUUUGACCUGAAGGCAUCUAACAUAUCAGAAUAUCAGAUGACGUUUUUCCAGAAAACCAUUUGACCUCACCUCAACAUAAAGAUAAAGUUGAUUGUUUUGUCAUGUCUCUAAAAGCCAAACAAAAGGGGAUUAUCAAAUUACAUAAAGUCUUGAGUCAAAAAGAACCCGACGAACGACACAAUGAAGUUCUAACGAAUUCAUCACAAAGAAAAAAUGGAAUCAACAAGAAAUCGUAAAAUUAUUUCGAAGAAUAAGCAUGGAUCAAGUUUUAUACUGCUCUGUUUCUCUGUAAUCAGUAAAAUUAUGCGUUAUUGCGAACUAAUUACAGAAUUCUGAUAUAGUCGAUGACAAAAUCGAAUUGAUCUAAUAUUACACUGUACAAGCUAUUUACAGUAAAGGCAAAGCAGUAUCAAAUUAAUCAUACAAAGAAAUAAACUUAUAACAAACAAAAACAUGAAUAGAAUAAAUAUAAAAGAAAUAGUAAUCCAGCAAUCCGAUGCAUACCGGAUUGAAAUCGGACUCCACUAGUAAGAUCAAUCGUCAAUUCGUCAUCUUCCGGAAUCAGAAACUCCGUCUGAAGCUAAUCCACAGUCGGAAGGAGUUAAAGGUGAGCUCGUACAUGGUGAGCUACCGUACCCUUCUUUUUUCCCUCCUUUGUUCUUCAUCAACAUGUUCGUCGCCUUCGAAGCAACAGAAACAGCUGAAUUCACAAUUUGGCCAACGAUCUUCCGCUUGAUUUCUCCUCGCCUCGGUGGAAUCAUCGUCUUCUUCUUCGAUCUGUUCGGGUGUUUGUAGUAUGAUGAUGAUGAUGAUGAUGAUGAUGAUGAUGAUGAUGCAGGCUCCAUCUCUACAGAGCUUGUGAGAAACAUCUAACAAUGAAAUCGAAUUUGGGAGAAAUUUGAAAGAAAUUUUGUUCGAAUUUGAAUGUUUGAGAGAGAAGGGAGUAGUGCGAGUGUUUAUAUAGGAGGGUAGACUCGAGUGUGAGCGGACUCACUCACUCACUAGCUUCGUCUCCACGUUUGUCUUAGUAAUGUACAUAUUUAGAACCCCUUGAACUUCGGUUAAAAGAAUUUCACGUCCUUCAACUUCCAGUUAUGCCAAGAAAUGCCCCUUAAGUAUUUACA
rnacentral:lncRNA from 1 species